rnacentral:rRNA from 1 species
AUUGAACGCUGGCGGAAUGCUUUACACAUGCAAGUCGAACGGCAGCACGGGGGCAACCCUGGUGGCGAGUGGCGAACGGGUGAGUAAUAUAUCGGAACGUGCCCAGUCGUGGGGGAUAACGUAGCGAAAGUUACGCUAAUACCGCAUACGAUCUACGGAUGAAAGCGGGGGAUCGUAAGACCUCGCGCGAUUGGAGCGGCCGAUAUCAGAUUAGGUAGUUGGUGGGGUAAAGGCUCACCAAGCCAACGAUCUGUAGCUGGUCUGAGAGGACGACCAGCCACACUGGGACUGAGACACGGCCCAGACUCCUACGGGAGGCAGCAGUGGGGAAUUUUGGACAAUGGACGCAAGUCUGAUCCAGCCAUUCCGCGUGCAGGACGAAGGCCUUCGGGUUGUAAACUGCUUUUGUACGGAACGAAAAAGCUCUUACUAAUACUAGGAGUCCAUGACGGUACCGUAAGAAUAAGCACCGGCUAACUACGUGCCAGCAGCCGCGGUAAUACGUAGGGUGCGAGCGUUAAUCGGAAUUACUGGGCGUAAAGCGUGCGCAGGCGGUUAUAUAAGACAGAUGUGAAAUCCCCGGGCUCAACCUGGGAACUGCAUUUGUGACUGUAUAGCUAGAGUGCGGCAGAGGGGGAUGGAAUUCCGCGUGUAGCAGUGAAAUGCGUAGAUAUGCGGAGGAACACCGAUGGCGAAGGCAAUCCCCUGGGCCUGCAC